UACGAAGGGGGUUAGCGUUGCUCGGAAUCACUGGGCGUAAAGCGCACGUAGGCGGCUUUCUAAGUCAGGGGUGAAAUCCUGGAGCUCAACUCCAGAACUGCCUUUGAUACUGGAGAGCUUGAGUCCGGGAGAGGUGAGUGGAACUCCGAGUGUAGAGGUGAAAUUCGUAGAUAUUCGGAAGAACACCAGUGGCGAAGGCAGCUCACUGGCCCGGUACUGACGCUGAUGUGCGAAAGCGUGGGGAGCAAACAGG
rnacentral:rRNA from 1 species